GACGAACGCUGGCGGCGUGCUUAACACAUGCAAGUCGAACGGAAAGGCCCUGCUUUUGUGGGGUUCUCGAGUGGCGAAGGGGUGCGUAACACGUGUGUAACCUGCUCUUGUCUUUGGGAUAGCUUCAGGUAAGUGGGGCUAAUCCAGUAUCGGAGCCCCCGCUCCGUGGAGGGGGGUGGAAAUUUUCGGCGGUUGUGGUUGGACUCGCGGAUUAUGGGCUUGCUGGUGGGGUAGGGGCUUACCCAGGCAUUGACGGGUACGCGGCCUGGGAGGGUGACCGGCCACAUUGGGACUAAGGUACGGCCCAGACGCCUACGGGAGGCAGCAGUGGGGAAUAUUGCACAAUGGGCGGAAGCCUGAUGCAGCAACGCCGCGUGCGGAAUGACGGCCUGCGGGGUGUAAACCGCUUUCGCCUGUGACGAAGCGUGAGUGACGGUAAUGGGUAAAGAAGCACCGGCUAACUACGUG
rnacentral:rRNA from 1 species